UGAGUUAAAAGUUCUUAAAGGGCCGCGGUACUUUGACCGUGCGAAGGUAGCAUAAUCAUUAGUCUUUUAAUUGAAGGCUAGAAUGAACGGUUGGACAAAAAAUAAGCUGUCUCAGUUAAAAUUCUUGAAUUUAACCUUUAAGUGAAAAGGCUUAAAUAAAUCGGGGGGACGAUAAGACCCUAUAAAGCUUUACAAACCCUUUUUUUUAGUUAAAAAUUAUAAGUGUAAACUAACUUAAAAAUUAUUUGUUUCGUUGGGGCGACGAGAAUAUAAUUUAGUAAUUGUUCUUUUAAAAUAUUACAGUAUUAGUUGAUUGAAAAUUGAUCCCUUAAUAAGGAUUAAAAGUUUAAGUUACUUUAGGGAUAACAGCGUAAUCUUUUUUGAGAGUCCAUAUCGACAAAAAGGGUUGCGACCUCGAUGUUGAAUU
rnacentral:rRNA from 1 species